rnacentral:rRNA from 1 species
UGUGGGAUAUUCACAAUGGGCGAAAGCCUGAUGCAGCGACGCCGCGUGGGGGAUGAAGGCCUUCGGGUUGUAAACUUCUUUUGCUCUGAACAAGGCGCACCAUGGGGUGUGUUGAGUGUAGGGGUUGAUUAGCGCCGGCUAACUACGUGCCAGCAGCCGCGGUAAUACGUAGGGCGCGAGCGUUGUCCGGAAUUAUUGGGCGUAAAGGGCUUGUAGGUGGCUGGUUGCGUCUGUCGUGAAAGCUCAUGGCUUAACUGUGGGUUUGCGGUGGGUACGGGCUGGCUUGAGUGCAGUAGGGGAGGCUGGAAUUCCUGGUGUAGCGGUGGAAUGCGCAGAUAUCAGGAGGAAUACCGGUGGCGAAGGCGGGUCUCUGGGCUGUUACUGACACUGAGGAGCGAAAGCAUGGGGAGCGAACAGG